rnacentral:rRNA from 1 species
CCUACGGGGAGGCAGCAGUAGGGAAUCUUCGGCAAUGGACGCAAGUCUGACCGAGCAACGCCGCGUGAGUGAAGAAGGUUUUUCGGAUCGUAAAACUCUGUUGUAAGAGAAGAACGUUGAUGAGAGUGGAAAGUUCAUCAAGUGACGGUAUCUUACCAGAAAGCCACGGCUAACUACGUGCCAGCAGCCGCGGUAAUACGUAGGUGGCAAGCGUUGUCCGGAUUUAUUGGGCGUAAAGCGAGCGCAGGCGGUUGAUUAAGUCUGAUGUGAAAGCCCCCGGCUCAACCGGGGAGGGUCAUUGGAAACUGGUCAACUUGAGUGCAGAAGAGGAGAGUGGAAUUCCAUGUGUAGCGGUGAAAUGCGUAGAUAUAUGGAGGAACACCAGUGGCGAAGGCGGCUCUCUGGUCUGUAACUGACGCUGAGGCUCGAAAGCGUGGGGAGCGAACAGGAUUAGAUACCCUGGUAGUCCACGCCGUAAACGAUGAGUGCUAAGUGUUGGAGGGUUUCCGCCCUUCAGUGCUGCAGCUAACGCAUUAAGCACUCCGCCUGGGGAGUACGACCGCAAGGUGAAACUCAAAUGAAUUGACGGGG